UACGAAGGGUGCAAGCGUUAAUCGGAAUUACUGGGCGUAAAGCGUGCGUAGAUGGUUUGUUAAGUCGAAUGUGAAAGCCCCGGGCUCAACCUGGGAACUGCAUCCGAUACUGGCAGACUAGAGUGUGGUAGAGGAUGGCGGAAUUCCCGGUGUAGCGGUGAAAUGCGUAGAGAUCGGGAGGAACAUCCGUGGCGAAGGCGGCCAUCUGGACCAACACUGACGUUGAGGCACGAAAGCGUGGGGAGCAAACAGG
rnacentral:rRNA from 1 species